AUCUAAGUACCCCGAGGAAAAGAAAUCAACCGAGAUUCCGAAAGUAGCGGCGAGCGAAAUUGGACUAGCCCUUAAGCUUUACACGCGUUAGACGAACGGUCUGGAAAGUCCGACGAUACAGGGUGAUAGUCCCGUAGUUGACGACGUGUGUUCAGUGAAAUCGAGUAGGGCGGGACACGUGAUAUCCUGUCUGAAUAUGGGGGGACCAUCCUCCAAGGCUAAAUACUACUGACUGACCGAUAGUGAACCAGUACCGUGAGGGAAAGGCGAAAAGAACCCCUGUGAGGGGAGUGAAAUAGAACCUGAAACCGUGUACGUACAAGCAGUAGGAGCAGGCUUUGUCCUGUGACUGCGUACCUUUUGUAUAAUGGGUCAGCGACUUAUAUUCAGUGGCAAGGUUAACCAUCUAGGGGAGCCGUAGGGAAACCGAGUCUUAACUGGGCGUUCAGUCUCUGGAUAUAGACCCGAAACCAGGUGAUCUAGCCAUGGGCAGGUUGAAGGUUGAGUAACAUCAACUGGAGGACCGAACCGACUAAUGUUGAAAAAUUAGCGGAUGACUUGUGGCUAGGGGUGAAAGGCCAAUCAAACCUGGAGAUAGCUGGUUCUCCCCGAAAGCUAUUUAGGUAGCGCCUCGGACGAAUACUACUGGGGGUAGAGCACUGUUAAGGCUAGGGGGUCAUCCCGACUUACCAACCCUUUGCAAACUCCGAAUACCAGUAAGUACUAUCCGGGAGACACACGGCGGGUGCUAACGUCCGUCGUGGAGAGGGAAACAACCCAGACCGCCAGCUAAGGUCCCAAAUUACUACUAAGUGGGAAACGAUGUGGGAAGGCUCAGACAGCCAGGAUGUUGGCUUAGAAGCAGCCAUCAUUUAAAGAAAGCGUAAUAGCUCACUGGUCGAGUCGGCCUGCGCGGAAGAUGUAACGGGGCUAAGUAGUAAACCGAAGCUGCGGCAAUGUGCUUUUGCACAUUGGGUAGGGGAGCGUUCUGUAAGCGGUUGAAGGUGUGUGGUAACGCAUGCUGGACGUAUCAGAAGUGCGAAUGCUGACAUGAGUAACGAUAAAGGGGGUGAAAAACCUCCUCGCCGGAAGACCAAGGGUUCCUGUCCAACGUUAAUCGGGGCAGGGUAAGUCGACCCCUAAGGCGAGGCCGAAAGGCGUAGUCGAUGGGAAACGGGUUAAUAUUCCCGUACUUCUUACAAUUGCGAUGGGGGGACGGAGAAGGCUAGGUGGGCCUGGCGACGGUUGU
rnacentral:rRNA from 1 species